rnacentral:rRNA from 1 species
UACAGAGGGGCUAGCGUUGCUCGGAAUCACUGGGCGUAAAGGGUGCGUAGGCGGGUCUUUUAAGUCAGGGGUGAAAUCCUGGAGCUCAACUCCAGAACUGCCUUUGAUACUGAGGAUCUUGAGUUCGGGAGAGGUGAGUGGAACUGCGAGUGUAGAGGUGAAAUUCGUAGAUAUUCGGAAGAACACCAGUGGCGAAGGCGACUCACUGGACAGGUAUUGACGCUGAGGUGCGAAAAGCGUGGGGGAGCAAAACAGG